rnacentral:rRNA from 1 species
UCCAGACUCCUACGGGAGGCAGCAGUGGGGAAUAUUGCACAAUGGGGGAAACCCUGAUGCAGCGACGCCGCGUGAGCGAUGAAGUAUUUCGGUAUGUAAAGCUCUAUCAGCAGGGAAGAAAAUGACGGUACCUGAAGAAGAAGCCCCGGCUAACUACGUGCCAGCAGCCGCGGUAAUACGUAGGGGGCAAGCGUUAUCCGGAUUUACUGGGUGUAAAGGGGGCGCAGACGGCGAUGCAAGCCAGGAGUGAAAGGCGGGGGCUCAACCCCCGGACUGCUCUGGAAACUGUACGGCUGGAGUGCAGGAGAGGUAAGUGGAAUUCCUAGUGUAGCGGUGAAAUGCGUAGAUAUUAGGAGGAACACCAGUGGCGAAGGCGGCUUACUGGACUGUAACUGACGUUGAGGCUCGAAAGCGUGGGGAGCAAACAGGAUUAGAUACCCCAGUAA